rnacentral:rRNA from 1 species
CGCGGCCUAUCAGCUUGUUGGUGAGGUAAUGGCUCACCAAGGCGACGACGGGUAGCCGGCCUGAGAGGGCGACCGGCCACACUGGGACUGAGACACGGCCCAGACUCCUAUGGGAGGCAGCAGUGGGGAAUAUUGCACAAUGGGCGAAAGCCUGAUGCAGCGACGCCGCGUGAGGGAUGAAGGCCUUCGGGUUGUAAACCUCUUUCAGUAGGGAAGAAGCGCAAGUGACGGUACCUACAGAAGAAGCACCGGCUAACUACGUGCCAGCAGCCGCGGUAAUACGUAGGGUGCGAGCGUUGUCCGGAAUUAUUGGGCGUAAAGAGCUUGUAGGCGGUUUGUCGCGUCUGCCGUGAAAAUCCGGGGCUCAACUCCGGACUUGCGGUGGGUACGGGCAGACUAGAGUGUGGUAGGGGAGACUGGAAUUCCUGGUGUAGCGGUGAAAUGCGCAGAUAUCAGGAGGAACACCGAUGGCGAAGGCAGGUCUCUGGGCCAUUACUGACGCUGAGAAGCGAAAGCGUGGGGAGCGAACAGGAUUAGAUACCCUGGUAGUCCACGCCGUAAACGUUGGGAACUAGAUGUGGGUCUCAUUCCACGAGAUCCGUGCCGCAGCUAACGCAUUAAGUUCCCCGCCUGGGGAGUACGG